AACGAACGCUGGCGGCAUGCCUAACACAUGCAAGUCGAACGAGCUCUUCGGAGCUAGUGGCGCACGGGUGCGUAACGCGUGGGAAUCUACCCUUGGGUUCGGAAUAACACAGAGAAAUUUGUGCUAAUACCGGAUGAUGACUUCGGUCCAAAGAUUUAUCGCCCAGGGAUGAGCCCGCGUAGGAUUAGCUUGUUGGUGGGGUAAUGGCCCACCAAGGCGACGAUCCUUAGCUGGUCUGAGAGGAUGAUCAGCCACACUGGGACUGAGACACGGCCCAGACUCCUACGGGAGGCAGCAGUGGGGAAUAUUGGACAAUGGGCGAAAGCCUGAUCCAGCGAAUGCCGCGUGAGUGAUGAAGGCCCUAGGGUUGUAAAGCUCUUUUACCAGGGAUGAUAAUGACAGUACCUGGAGAAUAAGCUCCGGCUAACUCCGUGCCAGCAGCCGCGGUAAAGUAGACG
rnacentral:rRNA from 1 species